rnacentral:rRNA from 1 species
UACGUAGGGGGCGAGCGUUGUCCGGAUUCAUUGGGCGUAAAGAGCUCGUAGGCGGCUUGGUAAGUCGGGUGUGAAACCUCCAGGCUCAACCUGGAGACGCCACUCGAUACUGCCAUGGCUAGAGUCCGGUAGGGGCCCACGGAAUUCCUGGUGUAGCGGUGAAAUGACGCAGAUAUCAGGAGGAACACCGGUGGCGAAGGCGGUGGGCUGGGCCGGAACUGACGCUGGAGGAGCGAAGGCGUGGGAGCG